CCCUUAGAGUUUGAUCCUGGCUCAGAAUGAACGUUGGCGGCGUGGAUUAGGCAUGCAAGUCGUGCGUGUACCCGCAAGGGGAAAGCGGCGAAAGGGAGAGUAACACGUGGAUACCUGCCCUCGGGUCUAGGAUAGCUGCGGGAAACUGCAGGUAAUACUAGAUAAUAUCUCAGGAUCAAAGGUGUGAUUCCGCCUGAGGAUGGGUCCGCGUCCUAUCAGCUUGUUGGCGAGGUAAUGGCUCACCAAGGCAAUGACGGGUACGGGGUGUGAGAGCAUGCCCCCGCUCACUGGGACUGAGACACUGCCCAGACACCUACGGGUGGCUGCAGUCGAGGAUCUUCGGCAAUGGGCGGAAGCCUGACCGAGCGACGCCGCGUGCGGGAUGAAGGCCUUCGGGUUGUAAACCGCUGUCAGUGGGGAGGAAGGCCCGGUGCAGAGCCGGGUUUGACCUAUCCGCAGAGGAAGGACGGGCUAAGUUCGUGCCAGCAGCCGCGGUAAGACGAACCGUCCGAACGUUAUUCGGAAUUACUGGGCUUAAAGGGUGCGUAGGCGGCGCGGAAAGUUGGGUGUGAAAUCCCUCGGCUCAACCGAGGAACUGCGCCCAAAACUUCCGUGCUUGAGGGAGACAGAGGUGAGUGGAACUUCGGGUGGAGCGGUGAAAUGCGUUGAUAUCCGAAGGA
rnacentral:rRNA from 1 species